AUGUAAGUGAACGAACUAAAAUCUAUUUAAAAUGGGGUGUCCUAAACUAAGCAGAGAACAGAAGCCUAUAUUGUAAAGCUGAAUUUCUUGCUUAGAUCGAUCGAACUUAAAGUACCUUAAUUUAAAUUACAUUUAUCUUUGUUCACGUACAUUUAACCCAGACUGCCUUAAAUCUGACAAGUUAUCUGGCUAAGCAAAUCCUGCUUUGCCAUGCAAACCCCAAGUUCUGAUUGACAGAGAUAUAGACCAAUAAUGAGCUGAGACCCUCCUUACUAUUUCUGGGUAAAUGGCACCAUGUUUGUUGUCCCCAAGUGGCUUCACUGAGGGCAAAAUGUCAGCAUGGGCCAGUUGCAGAAGUUUUCCUCAGCAAAAACGUUUAUAUCUCGGAAGCGGAAUAUCUCAGAAAAACACGCGGGUUUCUUCCUAAGACUCUACAGAAUCCAAUGAUUCUCAAUUGGUCGACAGGCACACCAUUCAUCCGCAAUCCUCGCAGACAGCCCAGAAAUGCCCUCAGCCUCGAUUUGGCCGCACCUAAUAGAAGAGGACAGAAAGUCUGCAAAACGUGAGACAACGCACCCACAAGGAGGGGCUGGGUGAACUUCAUCCUAACGGUAGUCUGCCCAGGAAAGUGCCGCACUGCCCAAGGCAUAUAGUCCACUUUGAGCCUGGCCCCCUUCACGUUGAUCUCCGCCUGGACAAAGUGCCACUCGUCAUCGUUGAGCGGCAGCGGUGAGCGAUGGGUCACGUUGAUGAUGCCAUCACCCACCAUGAAGACGAAGAGCACGUUCGUGGUGGCUGGGAGUUGGGAGACCAGCAGAACACUGAGACAGGCUGAGCCCUCCUUCAUCUAUGCACAGCUUACUGUUGAGUUCCACUCGGAUGAAGUUACGGUGGCGGUCGUCCGAGUUCUCCAGGAAGACGCCGUAUUUAGCAGUGGUUUUGAAAUGGAAGGAGAUGUCAGCACUCGUACCCGGUUUGAAAGUGGGAAACUUCAAGCAUCAAUAAGAGCUGCCACAACUACUAAGAAGGAUUUCAACAAGUUUUUGGAGUGUGUCCUUGGGAAUUAUUGUCCAUUCAUCCUGAAGAGCAUUUGUGAGCCAGCUGACCGAAGUUGACAACCCUGUACAUACAUCAGACUACCAGAGAGAGAAGUGUGAUUCGUCACUCCAAGGAACGUUUCCACUGCUCCAGAGUUCAGUGUCGGCGUGAUUUACACCACUCCAUCUGACGCUUGCUGCUCAGCCAGGGAAGCCCAUCCCAUAAAGUUGCCAGUGCACAGAUUUUGUGCUGGGCUGAUUGCCAGAGAAGAUUGGAACUCUGCAGUUAUUGACUCAGAGCGUUGGCGACUUUAAGUCUGCGUCACAGUUGCAGUAGAACCUGGGGUCUGCGCAUGUCUGGUUGAUGGAACAGCCACAUUUGUGGCUGUCAAGGAAGGAUCCACCCCAAUAAGCAUGGCUCUCAUUAUUCCGGCCAAUCCAGUAACUGAACGGCUGCCCAUCUGUGGAGAUGAGACGGGAUUGGGUCAAAUUUGUGCUGUGCAGAAUCCCAGGAUACAUGGAGGAAAUCCACAUUUCAUGGGAAGAAUAUGUACAUAGUCACAGCAGGGGUGGACUUCAAACCCCAAAAACAGGACUACGCACUGAGUCAACCUCACCAGAGUAUUCUUUGAAAACAGUAAAUGCUUAUUCUGGCCUACUCUACUUAAAAGCACAGAUUAAAAACUUAAAAAAAUUAAAACUCCGUUCUACAAUGCUUUCCAAAGGCUAUGAGAAUUCAGUAGCAUCUAAGGAGCUUACUACCUAUUCAUUCUAGAAAUGCAACAUGCUAUUAAACAAGAAACUUCCCAUAAGUUAAAACCAAUGUUCUCUGACAGUAAAUACAGUUGACUCACAAGGCGUAUUGAGUAGCCGAGACUUGUAGCAGGAGAAAUCAAUCCACUGCUCGCAGUGUGUGGAUGUGUUGGCGAGGGCCGAGACUUCAGCCCAGGAUGCGUUCAUGUACUCCAAAUCACCGACGUACGGCUGAUUUAUCGUGGUUCCGGUCACCUUGGUCUUGUCUAUCCGAUUAUGCCUGACCACUGUCCAACCUUUGUAGGCUGGUGGUGGGCAGAAAAGCCAGGUCAUCCCAGUGCUUAUGGCUCCCAAAAGCUCUGAAAGCAUGACUAUAUGACUGUGACUGCAGUGAUUUUUCAUCAAUGUCCUCUCUGAAUUAUAUCAUUAUCUCAACUUAAUAUUUGAUUUUAAAUAGCACAUCAGUGACAUAUUUUAAACUACAUUUUUUCCCUGUUUCAAAAGUAACAGAACUGGUUUGCCUUUACAUGUUAGGUCAGCCACAAAGUUUGAUGUUUUUAAAGUUUUAAAAACACACUUCUUUUCUUUUGGCAAAUGACUUGUGAAAUGUGCUCUACAAAUAAAGUAGAAAUAAUCAGCUUAGUUGAAAUAA